rnacentral:rRNA from 1 species
UAAGGCGAGGGCGAAAGCCGUAGUCGAUGGGAAACAGGUUAAUAUUCCUGUACUUUUUGUAAUUGCGAUGGAGUGACGGAGCAGGCUAGGUCAGCAGGGCGAUGGUUGUCCCUGUUUAAGGUCUUAGGCAUGUAUCUUAGGUAAAUCCGGGAUACUUUAUGCUGAGAACUGAUGACGAUUUUUCAUUUAUGAAAAAGAAGUGAUUGAUGCUUUACUUCCAGGAAAAACUUCUAAGCUUAAAUUGCAAGGAACCGUACUCUAAACCGACACAGGUGAUCAAGUAGAGAAUACUAAGGCGAUUGAGAGAACUUGGGUUAAGGAACUAGGCAAAAUGGUACCGUAACUUCGGGAGAAGGUACGCCUCUAUUACGUGAAAGAACUUGCUUCUGAAGCGGAAAGAGGUCGAAGAUACCAGAUGGCUGCGACUGUUUACUAAAAACAUAGCACUCUGCAAACACUAAUGUGGAAGUAUAGGGUGUGACGCCUGCCCGGUGCCGGAAGGUUAAUUGAUCAGGUUAGUCCUCGGACGAAGCUUGUGAUCGAAGCCCCGGUGAACGGCGGCCGUAACUAUAACGGUCCUAAGGUAGCGAAAUUCCUUGUCGGGUAAGUUCCGACCUGCACGAAUGGCGUAACGAUGGCCACACUGUCUCGACCCAGGACUCAGUGAAAUUGAAUUUGCGGUGAAGAUGCCGUAUACGCGCGGCUAGACGGAAAGACCCCGUGCACCUUUACUAUAGCUUCACACUGGACUUUGAAUUUAUAUGUGUAGGAUAGGUGGGAGACUUUGAAACCAAAGCGCUAGCUUUGGUGGAGUCGUCCUUGAAAUACCACCCUUAUACAUUUGAGGUUCUAACUUAGAUCCGUUAUCCGGAUCAAGGACAGUGUGUGGUGGGUAGUUUGACUGGGGCGGUCUCCUCCCAAAGAGUAACGGAGGAGUGCGAAGGUAUCCUCAGCAUGGUCAGACAUCAUGCAAUGAGUGCAAUGGCAUAAGGAUGCUUAACUGCGAGACUGACAAGUCGAGCAGGUACGAAAGUAGGUCUUAGUGAUCCGGUGGUUCUGUAUGGAAGGGCCAUCGCUCAACGGAUAAAAGGUACGCCGGGGAUAACAGGCUGAUACUGCCCAAGAGUCCAUAUCGACGGCAGUGUUUGGCACCUCGAUGUCGGCUCAUCACAUCCUGGGGCUGGAGCAGGUCCCAAGGGUAUGGCUGUUCGCCAUUUAAAGUGGUACGCGAGCUGGGUUUAGAACGUCGUGAGACAGUUCGGUCCCUAUCUGCCGUGGGCGUUGGAGAAUUGAGGGAAGCUGCUCCUAGUACGAGAGGACCGGAGUGGACGAACCUCUGGUGUUCCGGUUGUGUCGCCAGACGCAUUGCCGGGUAGCUACGUUCGGACAGGAUAACCGCUGAAAGCAUCUAAGCGGGAAGCCCCUCCCAAGACUAGUUCUCCCUAACCCCUUGAGGGUUCUUAAGAGCCGUCCAAGACUAGGACGUUGAUAGGCUGGAUGUGGAAGCGUUGUAAGGCGUUGAGCUAACCAGUACUAAUUGCUCGUGCGGCUUGACCAU